rnacentral:rRNA from 1 species
GACGAACGCUGGCGGCGUGCUUAACACAUGCAAGUCGAACGGUGAAGCGCCUUCCUUUUUGGUGGGUGUGGAUGAGUGGCGAACGGGUGAGUAACACGUGAGUAACCUGCCCCCUUCUUCUGGAUAACCGCAUGAAAGUGUGGCUAAUACGGGAUAUUCUGGGUCUGUCGCAUGAUGGGUCUGGGAAAGAUAUUGUUUCGGUGGGGGAUGGGCUCGCGGCCUAUCAGCUUGUUGGUGGGGUGAUGGCCUACCAAGGCGGUGACGGGUAGCCGGCCUGAGAGGGUGGACGGUCACACUGGGACUGAGACACGGCCAAGACUCCUACGGGCGGCAGCAGUGGGGAAUAUUGCACAAUGGGCGCAAGCCUGAUGCAGCGACGCCGCGUGAGGGAUGGAGGACUUCGGGUUGUGAACCUCUUUCUCCAGUGAAGCAGGACUGCCUCGUUUGUGGGUGGGUUGACGGUAGCUGGAUAAGAAGCGACGGCUAACUACAUG